ncrna:unclassified sequences Mu-gpT-DE RNA
CCCUGACAGGCACAUGGUGUGUCUGACUAACCCAGACAGGAGAUCGACAUG